CUUGCUUGGUGUAGGUCUCCUUUCACCAGCAAUUAAACCAUCAUCAUUUUGAUACCAUAGUCUAAUAUUGUUUGCACAGUCUGCCAGUACCAUACUCACUUUAAGGAGACCUACAUCAGGAUAGGUCUAUAUGACUCUGGUAGUGAUAUUAGGUUUAAUCGUGUAUCAUGUCUUGAUUUACUGAUUCUGGUCACUAAAGCAGGUUCAUAAUUAAUUUGAGCACAGUUCAGCUUUAAAUUGUUG